AGAGUUUGAUCCUGGCUCAGGACGAACGCUGGCGGCAGGCUUAACACAUGCAAGUCGAGCGCCCCGCAAGGGGAGCGGCAGACGGGUGAGUAACACGUGGGAACGUGCCUUUCGGUUCGGAACAACUGAGGGAAACUUCAGCUAAAACCGGAUACGCCCUUCGGGGGAAAGUUUACGCCGAAAGAUCGGCCCGCGUCUGAUUAGGUAGUUGGUGGGGUAAUGGCCUACCAAGCCGAUGAUCAGUAGGUGGUCUGAGAGGAUGAUCACCCACACUGGGACUGAGACACGGCCCAGACUCCUACGGGAGGCAGCAGUGGGGAAUAUUGGACAAUGGGCGCAAGCCUGAUCCAGCCAUGCCGCGUGGAUGAAGAAGGCCCUAGGGUUGUAAAGUCCUUUCGUCAGGGACGAUAAUGACGGUACCGGAAGAAGAAGCCCCGGCUAAUUUCGUGCCAGCAGCCGCGGUAAUACGAAAGGGGCUAGCGUUGUUCGGAAUUACUGGGCGUAAAGCGCACGUAGGCGGCCUUGUAAGUUGGGGGUGAAAUCCCCGGGCUCAACCCGGGAACUGCCUCCAAGACUGCAAAGCUAGAGGAUGCGAGAGGUUGACGGAAUUCCGAGUGUAGAGGUG
rnacentral:rRNA from 1 species